CCGAUCACAUCUUUUGGGGCUUCCACAGAGCGAGAGGCUCCGAAGCGACGGGAAACUGCACAGGCCGCUGCUGCGGGGCUCGCGCACCGGCGAUGGCUGCCGUCUCCGCCCCCGUCCCCGCCCCCUCCUCCACCUUCAACCUAGGCGGUCUCUGCUCCGAUCCGCCACCGCCGCUCCGCCUCUCGGGUGAACAGCUAAAGUACUGCUCCGAAGCACUAUAUUUCUUCAAGGAGAAGCUCAGAACCCCUACUAGGAUCGCCCAGGAGUUCCACCGUCUCCAGGAGAUGAGGCCAACGAUGGAUGAGAUUGUGAGAAAGUGUUCCGUGGCUCUGCGAGAUGCAAACUUGGAUAAAAAUCGCUACACAGAUAUUCUCCCAUUUGACAAUAACAGGAUCGUUCUCAAUUCAACAAGGGACAGCACCUCCUUGAGGAACAAUUAUAUCAAUGCGAGUCUUAUUGGGCUAGCAUCUGGUGAAAAAGUCUCGCAGUUUAUUGCUACACAAGGUCCACUCCCUGAGACCUUUGAAGAUUUUUGGGAGAUGGUAUUUGAAUAUCGUUGUCCUGCAAUCGUGAUGCUAACACGUGUUGAUAAUCACAGGAUGAUGAGGAAAUGUGCUAAUUAUUUUCAAGCACAAAAUGGGCUCAGAGAAUUUGGAAAAAUCAGUAUUGAGACGAAAUAUACGAGAACAUCUGAUUCUUCAUUAGUGCUGCGCUGCUUGGAAGUGAAACACAAAGAGUUGGUGAAACCAGCCCUUUCGGUUCUCCAUAUCCAGUACCCUGAAUGGCCUGAUCAUGGGGUGCCUGAGGAUACUGCAUCAGUUCGGGAAAUUUUUGAAAUGACACAUCAUUUACCACCAGAAAUUGGCCCCAUUGUUGUGCAUUGCAGUGCAGGUAUUGGGAGAACUGGUACGUAUUGUACCAUUCACAACACACUGCAAAGGGUUCUCAUUGGUGAUAUGUCUUCUUUAGAUCUUAAGAAAACUAUUUCUGAGUUCAGAUCACAACGGCUAGGGAUGGUUCAGACAAUGGAACAAUAUUUCUUCUGCUAUGAUGCAAUCGUGGAUGAACUAGAAGAACUCCUCUCCAGGUCCGCACACUAGAAGCUCUAGAAGGUUACUCGGCAUCGUUAAUGCUCGAACGAAGAUCACCUGUCUCGCUCAGCCAGGGAACACGAGAAAGAGGGAGCGAGAUCGGUGCACCGUUCCCUUAUAAAUACCGACCUCCGUUGCCGUUUCUCAUCUCCCUCCCCACCCUCCCCCCACCUCAUCAUUUGAUCGCUGCCUCUGGUUGUUCUCCUUCGGCAUCUCGAGACUCCUGGGUUCCAUCCCCUCCUCAUCUUUGCCGAAUUUUCUUGUUUCGUUUGAUGGAUUCUCUUCUGAUCUCUUUGUCUUCUGAUGUAUGAUUGUUAAGUCUUGGACAUGUUUCUGGAUUCUUCACAUCAAAGUGUGUUUUCUUCUUUUUCUGGCAGGAUUACCGAGUUUGGGUUGAAGAUUCGGUGCAGAGGCAAAAGGAUCGCACUGCUCGAUCUCGGAGGCCGACAACUUCGACCUGGAAGCCGUUCGAUGAUCGGUCACUAGGCGAGAUCUCGACGACGGCAAAUCUCAGGCCGGUCGGUAGCUGUGGAAGCAUGUACUCCUCGGGCGCGGGGCGAUCGUUGCUGGACACGCCAGCCUCAUCGAAUCGGGAUUCGUUGAAGCCACACGCGAUGGUUCGAUCGGUAGUUUUCUUCCGAGGGCUGCCGGUGGGGGCAUGAUAGCACAUGAGAUCAUGCCUCGAAGGAGGCUUUUGAUUAUGAUCAGUUACUCUUGCUUGCCCUCCUGCGGCUCCUCUUCAUCGUCAGGCCAGCUGAAGCCUGCAUCGAAAGCUGAUGAUGGUGGAACCCUUGCCACCCUGACGAUCUGAGUUAUAUCUGCCACACUCUGAAGGGAAUAGGUGGGCAUGUUGUCAUCCUUCUUGCGGUACGUUGCUUGUGCUGCUUCUGUUGUCAUUCUUCUUGCGGUACGUUGCUUAUGGAGAGAUCGAGAUUGAGGUCGGUGCUGCUGCUGCUGCCGUCGUCGCUGGAGAAAGUUUAAGACCUUUGCUACAGUCGUGCAGUCCUGAGCCAUGGACACGUCUUGUUGUUUUAAGGUAGCGAACGGGUUAGUGAUCAGCUCGAUGGGUCGGUGAGACUGAGGGUCGAGGCCACGGCCGAGGAGCUUCCUCUUGAUGGUUGUAUUCCAGUAGUUCUUGAUCUCGUUGUCGGUCCUACCCGGCAAUCGCCCUGCUAUGAGAGACCAUCUGAAACCAUCAAACAGAUCAAUUCAUGCUCAAGUAUUGGGAUCAUCUUAUCUCACUGGCGUCAUAUUCACAGGAAAAGAAGAAGGAGGUGAUCUAGUAUGUACUUGUUCCCAAGCAAGCCAUGGAGCUUGAUGAUGAGCUCGUCUUCUGCCGCCGUAAAGUUGCCACGCUUGAGAUCGGGACGGAGGUAGUUUAUCCACCUGAGCCGGCAGCUCUUGCCACAUCGAAGCAGACCUUCAAGAGCAGGCAAAUCCCCAGUAGAUAACAACUGCAAGCGACAUACGAUUAACCCUAAGCUUCUCAGAAUAAGGUACCUACCUGCAGCUUUGGGGAGUGAUCUCCAGCAGCCUUCGCCAUGGGCCUUGAUGUAAGAGAUCAGCUUCUCGUCUUCCUCUUUCGUCCAAGCUCCCUUGUUCGUAUGAGCCUUCUCACAGCACGGAGACCUGCCCAUGCUGGCUAGCUAUGGUGGUUUCAAGCUGAAGAAGAAAGAAGAGAAGAGAUCAAAAGGGAGAGGUCGAGUGGUGGGACGAGGGAAGAGAGUUGAAUGCUCGAUUUAUAUGAGAGAGGAGGUGAAUCGAGUACUGAGCUCAUCGACACUAAUCCUUGAGCAACUCACUUGAUUGAGUUGUGUUUGGCUGGAUUUGGUCGGUAGCUCUACUUUUCAGUGAGCAUUUCCUGUUCCAUUAGCACAUGAUUUCAUUUCCUUGUUCA